ensembl:lncRNA
UGUUUUUUAAAAAUCUACUAUUACACCUUUAAACCCUGGAAUUGAGUGCUCGUGCGCCUCAGUGUGUGUGUAUGUAUGUAUGUGUGUGUGUGUGCGCGCGCCCGCCCGAGUGUCGUCACGCGCUUUAACCCGGACGUGAAGCAGCUCAACAGAAAAAAAAAUCCGAUACGGUCGAAGAAAAGAUUUAAAAAAGGUAAGUUUGAAAAGGAAAAGAUGACGUUAAAGACGACGCGCUUGACGGUUUGGUAUAGGUUGUGUUUCUAGUCCUGGGUAUGAGCGGAGGACAGAUGUGUGUAAGGAGAGACUUUGUGUUUAUGAGCUGGAUAACUCUGUAGCUGCAUGUUAGCCAGCUCUGCCAACUGUAUUGUGUUUCUUAUAUAACGAGUGAGCAGCGAGUUGUUUUAUUAAACUAUUAACUUUGCUAUCAUUUGCAUGCGAACCCACAGACAGUAACUCUUGCCUCGUAUUGAAGACUGUCCGCAUCUGAGUAGCCGGCUAGCUGAUGCUAAGUGAGUGGAACUUGCUAGCAUUUUUUGUUUGUGUUUUGACUGAAGCUUUAGCAUGUAUGCACCUCGCGUGCAUUCCAUAUUGCUGGGGUUUAAAAACCACAAUAAAUUAGUCUAAGCUCAGAGUUAGAACAAGUUAACGUGUUGGUUAUACAUCUCUAACGGUUGUUGAACGAAUUAGCAAGCAAGUUAUAUGUAUAUAUUUUUUGUUUGGAGGCCUGGACGUCAGUGAGGUGCCAUUGCCAAAUAAAGCACCGUAUUACUGUGUAGCUGGAAUUACAGCACCGCGCAUGCGCACAGACCCGACUUUAUAUCCUGCUAAAUAACGAGAUGUUUUUUUUUCUUUGGUAUGCGCAGUGCAGGGCUGCUCGCUGCCAGAAAAGGAGCUACAGUGCGAUUUGGGACGGCGGGUUAAAUCAGUGCUGCAUUGCAGAAAUGAAGGUCCAUCUAAUAGAUAUUAAAUGGACCAAGCCAUAAAGUGGGGAAAGAGAGAUAACAGACAGGCAGAGAUUAAAGUAAUGAGGGAGGUUGAUAGUUUUUGUGUUGUAUGCGCUCUGGAUAUUUUACUUCACAACUGUAACUGUUCAAAUCCCAACACACACACUUACCUGUCACACCUGUUUGUACCAUGCUCCCCUCAUGCCUUAAUUUAACCUACCUAAGCAACCUGAUUGUGUCUGUGUGUGUUUGCUUUGAAUGUUAAGGUAAUAUAACCAUCAGGGUGGUUAUCUUUAUACUUUACUUUGGUGCUGGUGCAGUUUCAUUUAUCUGGGUUAAUAUUAAAGUGCACCUAUUAUGGUUUUGAAACAUGCCUAAUUUUAUUGUAAAGGUCUCAUACAAUGAAUUUACAUGCAUCCAAGGUAAAAAGAUACUUUAAUGUGCUCAUAAUUUAAAUUGCAGGAUUACAAACGACUCGUUAAGUGAUUUGUUCUAAAGGAUUCGUUCUCAAUUCCUCCUUUCAGAGAGUAUACUCUGCUCUGAUUGGUCAGAUGUCCCAGUCUGUUGUGAUUGGUCUACCUUUGUCAGCGUGUGUCGGAAAGGAAACGUCCACUACCGUAACGUGUUUCAGCUCUGUCUGUUCACGAGCAGUCGAUGAAGACCAGAGGCGGGGUUUUUUUGUUACAAACCUACGUAGUUUUGUGCAGGAAGUAAGUCUGGAAUUACUAACGACGUGUUUCAGCUGUUCAGAAACGGUUCCUUCUUUUGGGAGUCAAUACCCCUUUUUGUCGUACACUUUGAUUUUUUUGAAACUUGGCAGACGUUUUUACGUUCACAAACAGCUACGUAUAUAACACGCUACCUGAACGGUAAUAUUUGAAAAGCAUAAUAGGUGCACUUUAUCACUUGUGCAAGCAAAGUCAGUCGUCUUCUGAGCAGCACAGCUAUGUAACUUUCAGUAGUGUGGUAUGAGAUCAUUUUUGCACAGGUUAGUCCAGUGGUUCUCGAAGUGGUGUCCGUGAAGCAUAGCCAGGUGGUGGAAAUCACAACCCGCAUUAUCCCGCAUUAGAGUUAUUAUAUCUCGGAGUCCAAACGCCAAACUCAACUCGGACCUGAUAGUUCUACCGGCGUACGUUCAUGAAUAGAACGCGCUGUUAAUGUUUAUGAAACAAAUCCAUACCGAGGGGGUCCGUGGAAUUUAUUUUACAGUAUAAGGGGUCUCUAGUUGCAAAAAGCGUGAGAACCGCCGGACUAGUCUUCUAAUAUAUUCACUAGUAGCUACUGUGAGAAUGUCGACUAGAUGGAUGGUUGAAAAAACAGUGAGGCGGGAUGUAAAGAAAGCAGAUGAAUCUACCUUGUUAGUCUGAAAAUAUUUCAGACUAGAUGAAACCAAUUCUACAUUUCAUUACAAUUAUUCUACAAUUCAACUAUGCUGGGGAAAUUUCCUUUGCUGAAAUAGACCAUGAACUCUUGAGUGGCGGCGCGUGUGAGUAGGCGCUCGUAGGCCUUCCGUGAUAAUUACGUUAUCGUCUUAUUGUACGAUAUAUGCACGUAAGCAUAGAUGUUUUAUAUGUAUAGAUUUAUAUAACCGCGAUCUUGCCUGUUGUGUUUACAUGAGGGUUUGUUUACAUAAGAGUGAACGUCACUAAAAUUUUAGCCAUUUGCACUGCUUCUGUCCUCUCGUCUGCUCUAGGGCUGUCCAAUUAUAAUUCAAGCUUUGAAUAUUCAAAAUGCACAUUCAAAUGCAACAACAGUGCAUGUGAAUGUAAGAUGUGUAGCAAGCACUUGCACUGAUUUUACGUAAAACAUGCUGUUGGAAAAAAAAGUGUCACCUAAGAUAUUAACAAUGCACUCACAAUGCUUUUUGAAGAAGAAACAUCUAGAAAGAGCAGUUCUAGCGUUUCGUGUAAUCCGGUCGUAGUCAAUAAUGUCGGGGACCGAGCCGCUUAAGCUGCGUGACCUGAAGCUGAACGGUGAGUGAAUAGCUGUAAAUCGAAGCGGUUAAGAAGACGUUGGACUACUGAUCAGAAGGUCGUGAGUUCAAAUCCCAGCACCACUAAGCGGUCACUGCUGGACCGUUGAGCAAGGCGCUUAACCCUCAACUGCUCAGUUGUAUAAAUGAGAGUAAGUCGCUGUGAAUAAGGGCGCCUGCCAAACGCCGAAAAUGUAAACGACAAGCAGGCAUUUGAGCCUCUUUGAAACAGUGCCUAUUAAUAAAGGUGAUACACUCUUAUCAAAUGGCACACAGACUUGACAUUUUGUAGUAAUUAUCACAUUUUAAAUUAACAAAAAAACAGAUCAGUCACAUGGAAGAGUAAGUACACCCCUACGUUUAUCACAGCUUCAGAUACAUAAAAUUAAAAUCAGGUGUUCAAGAUUGGCUGUCAGUGAUCAGAACCUGCCGGAGCAGUGCAGGUGGAACCUGUCGUAUUAUACCCCUCUCAUAUCUAGUGUCUGGUCUUCCCUUCGCUCUUAAAGGGUGUGGUGACAUCAUGCCAAGAUCCAAAGGGUUCUGUAAGGUCAAGUGAUCCAACUCCGCAUCAUAUCAAAGAGCGCUUGAAUAUAAUGCGAGGCCAAGUUGAACCGAAAGUGGACCUUUAAACAGUAUAACGAUCCCCGAUUUGAAUCCCAUCGAAAUGUUGUGGGUUGAUUUGAAACGGGCAAUACAUGCAAGUAAACCCUCAAACAUGUUGCAACUGAAAUAAUAUUGCAUGGAAGAGUGGUCAGCAAUUCCAGCAAUUCUCGUGGACGAUUAUGAAAAAUGUCUACAAGAAGUUAUUUCUGCUAAAGGGGGCAAUACGAGCUUCUGAGGCCAAGGGAGUACUUAUUUUUUCCACAGAGGAUCAUCACCUCAAUUUUUUUGUUAAAGUAUAUCAACUUUAUUAUUAGGCACUGUUUCAAAGAUGAUCAAAUGUUUGCUUGUCCAAAUAUGUAUUAAAAAAAACACCAACAAUUUCCUUGGGGUGUACUUAUCCCCCACCCACAUAGAAAAUACAUACACAAUCAAAUACAAUGUCGUUUAUGGCAAUUAUUUCUGGGACACUAUAGCGUCCAACAAGUGGUACUGUGACAGGCUUACCUGAAACCCCUUUUUUUGCUUUAACUGAAAGAUCGGCGUUACAGGUUGAAAAAAGUUGUGCAGGCCCUAGUUUCUUCUGUCACAUGAGCAUUUUGUUGAUUGUACAUGCAGAAUGAAUACAUCUCGGUAACUUCAGGCCGGCAAUAUGACAAUAUCAAAUCAUGAAACUUUAAGAUAUUUUACUUGACCCAGUAUAUUUAGCUAUGUCUUAAUCCCAUUUGUGUUUACUUCGAGUAGGACUUUAGUCGGAUUAAGGUCCUCAAUAAUCGCUGUUUACAUGCUAGUUUCUUAAUCAGAGUGUCAUCUUAAUCAGGUUAAUAUCGGAUUAUUGUUGUUCAUGUAAAUGUACUGUCGGUUAUAAAUAUACUUAACUUAUUCUAACUAAUACUAAAUCCUGUGACGUUUUAUUGAUGAUCCAUUGCUAAAUUUGAACGUGUAAAAAAAUAAAAUAAAAAAAUGUUAGUUACUAAGCUAGCGUAAGAUAACAGACCGCUUUUGAACUUUUUUGUGUUAUAGUGUGUUGUGUUAUUGCACGGAAGGUCUGUACAUUUGUGUCUAAGUGUACUGGGAUGAAAUAGAUCACAGUAGCAGUGUUGCGCAGUCCUAUCGCUCAGCCCUGGUUGGUAUUUUGAGGUAGCGUCGUAUAUCCUGAUGCGCUUCAGUCAUGUUUCUGUAUUACAGAAUAGGCAGUAAUAAAAAUAAGGCAGUGAAGUUUUAUUUACUGCGUGAACUCCGCUCGGGUAAGUAUACAGCCUAAUAAAACAAGCCUGGACCAAUCUUUGCUGAUAUUAAAUGUUGAGAUAUUGCGACCCAGUACAAAUAUUUUAACACGCGAAUAUCCAGCAGCCGUUGUUGCGUUACCGUAGCAACGAUUCCUGGGUCUGACGUAACACCUCAUCGACUGGUUCCUCCACCAGAAGUUUGAAGGAGUUGAUGGACUUAAUUUCAUCCAGUCUUUUUAAUCUUUUGCUUGAUGAACAUGGCAGGUGGAAUUAAAGCGUGCUACAGGGAUCAUACUCUGAGAAAUAACUUCAGGUGAGAGCAGAAGUGCACAGCGUCGUACCGCAGCACCUCCUGGCUCUCCGUUAAAUCGGUGUAACCAGUUCUUCAUUCCGUUCCUUCACUUUUACUUCAACUUGGUGUCAUUCUGGAUUAUGUCUAAUAAUGUUUAAGUGAAUUAGUCUUAACAAACCUACUUCAGAGCAGAUGGAAGCCAGGAGUGAGGGACCGCUGCAAAAAAGGAGGAGUGCUGUACAUUAGUGUUAUUUAGUUUGUGUGUUUUUUUUUUUGUUUUUUGUUUUUUUGUUU